rnacentral:rRNA from 1 species
AGUGAACGCUGGCGGUAGGCCUAACACAUGCAAGUCGAACGGCAGCACAGUAAGAGCUUGCUCUUACGGGUGGCGAGUGGCGGACGGGUGAGGAAUACAUCGGAAUCUACUUUUUCGUGGGGGAUAACGUAGGGAAACUUACGCUAAUACCGCAUACGACCUACGGGUGAAAGCAGGGGAUCUUCGGACCUUGCGCGAAUGAAUGAGCCGAUGUCGGAUUAGCUAGUUGGCGGGGUAAAGGCCCACCAAGGCGAAGAUCCGUAGCUGGUCUGAGAGGAUGAUCAGCCACACUGAAACUGAGACACGGUCCAGACUCCUACAGGAGGCAGCAGUGGGGAAUAUUGGACAAUGGGCGCAAGCCUGAUCCAGCCAUACCGCGUGGGUGAAGAAGGCCUUCGGGUUGUAAAGCCCUUUUGUUGGGAAAGAAAAGCAGCAGGUUAAUACCCCGCUGUUCUGACGGUACCCAAAGAAUAAGCACCGGCUAACUUCGUG